AGAGUUUGAUCAUGGCUCAGGAUAAACGCUGGCGGCGCACAUAAGACAUGCAAGUCGAACGGACUUAACCAUUAGUUUACUAUUGGAGCGGUUAGUGGCGGACUGGUGAGUAACACGUAAGCAACCUGCCUAUCAGAGGGGAACAACAGUUAGAAAUGACUGCUAAUACCGCAUAUGCCUAAGUACCACAUGGUGCAAUAGGGAAGGGAGCAAUCCGCUGAUAGAUGGGCUUGCGUCUGAUUAGAUAGUUGGUGGGGUAAAGGCCUACCAAGUCGACGAUCAGUAGCCGGACUGAGAGGUUGAACGGCCACAUUGGGACUGAGAUACGGCCCAGACUCCUACGGGAGGCAGCAGUCGGGAAUAUUGCGCAAUGGAGGAAACUCUGACGCAGUGACGCCGCGUGCAGGAAGAAGGUUUUCGGAUUGUAAACUGCUUUAGACAGGGAAGAAACAAGACAGUACCUGUAGAAUAAGCUCCGGCUAACUACGUGCCAGCAGCCGCGGUAAUACGUAGGGAGCGAGCGUUAUCCGGAUUUAUUGGGUGUAAAGGGUGCGUAGACGGGAAAAUAAGUUAGUUGUGAAAUCCCUCGGCUUAACUGAGGAACUGCAACUAAAACUGUUUUUCUUGAGUACUGGAGAGGAAAGUGGAAUUCCUAGUGUAGCGGUGAAAUGCGUAGAUAUUAGGAGGAACACCAAUGGCGAAGGCGGCUUACUGGGCUCUAACUGACGCUGAGGCUCGAAAGUGUGGGGAGCAAACAGGAUUAGAUACCCUGGUAGUCCACACUGUAAACGAUGAUUACUAGGUGUGGGAGGUCUGACCCCUUCCGUGCCGCAGUUAACGCAAUAAGUAAUCCACCUGGGGAGUACGACCGCAAGGUUGAAACUCAAAGGAAUUGACGGGGGCCCGCACAAGCAGUGGAUUAUGUGGUUUAAUUCGAAGCAACGCGAAGAACCUUACCAGGUCUUGACAUCCAACUAACGAGAUAGAGAUAUGUUAGGUGCCCUUCGGGGAAAGUUGAGACAGGUGGUGCAUGGUUGUCGUCAGCUCGUGUCGUGAGAUGUUGGGUUAAGUCCCGCAACGAGCGCAACCCCUGCCAUUAGUUGCUACGCAAGAGCACUCUAAUGGGACCGCUACCGACAAGGUGGAGGAAGGUGGGGACGACGUCAAAUCAUCAUGCCCCUUAUGACCUGGGCUACACACGUAAUACAAUGGCCGUUAACAGAAGGAAGCGAAGGCGCGAGCCGGAGCAAACCCCCAAAAACGGUCUCAGUUCGGAUUGCAGGCUGCAACUCGCCUGUAUGAAGUCGGAAUUGCUAGUAAUCGCGGAUCAGCAUGCCGCGGUGAAUACGUUCCCGGGCCUUGCACACACCGCCCGU
rnacentral:rRNA from 1 species